ACGAAUCUAAAGUCGAUACGCUGUGCUGGUGGAAACACAUGUGCACGUGUGUCGCAAAUCCACACACCUGUGAACCUUUGACUCUGAGGUGAUGAGCGUCCGGACUCGUCUGGAUGCGUGGGGAUCUUCUGGUCUCCAGUCCCUCGGGGUACUUUUUAUACACUCCGAAUGUAAAAGAAUGUACCUGUGCAUAAUGCGCAACUAUA
rnacentral:misc_RNA from 1 species